rnacentral:rRNA from 1 species
CCCUUAGAUGUUCGGGGCCGCACGCGCGCUACACUGAUGAAAUCAACUGGUUUUAUCGUCCUGGUCCGGCAGGAUUGGGUAAUCCGUUGAACUUUCGUCGUGCUUGGGAUCGGAGCUUGUAAUUAUUCUCCGUGAACGAGGAAUUCCCAGUAAGCGCGAGUCAUAAGCUCGCGUUGAUUACGUCCCUGCCCUUUGUACACACCGCCCGUCGCUACUACCGAUUGAACGGUUUAGUGAGGGCCUCGGAUUGGUCUCGGCCCGCUCUUUACCGGGCGGCGCCGUUGGUCGAGAAGACGCUCGAACUUGAUCGUUUAGAGGAAGUAAAAGUCGUAACA